GGAGUAGACCAGGUGAUCGCUGGUCCCUCUUCGGGGACUGGAGGAAAGUCCGAACACCACAGGGCAGGGUGCUCCAUAACGUGGAGUCACGGUGACGUGAAGGCAAGUGCAACAGAGAGCAGACCGCCCUGCCGUUUUGGCAGGGUAAGGGUGAAACGGUGCGGUAAGAGCGCACCAGUUCUUCGGGUGACCGGAGAAGCUAGGUAAACCCCACCCGGUGCAAGACCAAAUAGGGGAGCGUUGGGGCUGCGGCCCCUAGAGGGCGGCCCGUCCAAGCUCCCGGGUAGGUCGCUCGAGGUGCCGGGCAAUCGGCAUCCCAGAUGAAUGAUCGCCGCCUCCGAUCCGGGUAACCGGCCGGGGGAACAGAAUUCGGCUUACGGGCUGCUUCGACC
rnacentral:RNase_P_RNA from 1 species